rnacentral:rRNA from 1 species
UAUAGAGGUGGCAAGCGUUGUUCGGAAUUACUGGGCGUAAAGGGCGCGUAGGCGGUCUUUUAAGUCUCGUGUGAAAUCCCUCGGCUCAACUGAGGAACUGCACGGGAUACUGGAUGACUUGAGUUCGGGAGAGGGAAGCGGAAUUCCGGGUGUAGCGGUGAAAUGCGUAGAUAUCCGGAGGAACACCGGUGGCGAAGGCGGCUUCCUGGACCGACACUGACGCUGAGGCGCGAAAGCUAGGGGAGCAAACGGG